rnacentral:rRNA from 1 species
GACCAGACUCCUACGGGAGGCAGCAGUGAGGAAUAUUGGUCAAUGGGCGGGAGCCUGAACCAGCCAAGUCGCGUGAGGGAAGACGGUCCUACGGAUUGUAAACCUCUUUUGCCGGGGAGCAACGGGGUCCUUGCGAGGCCCCGAUGAGAGUACCCGGAGAAAAAGCAUCGGCUAACUCCGUGCCAGCAGCCGCGGUAAUACGGAGGAUGCGAGCGUUAUCCGGAUUUAUUGGGUUUAAAGGGUGCGUAGGCGGGCUGUUAAGUCAGCGGUCAAAUGUCGGGGCUCAACCCCGGCCUGCCGUUGAAACUGGCGGCCUCGAGUGGGCGAGAAGUAUGCGGAAUGCGUGGUGUAGCGGUGAAAUGCAUAGAUAUCACGCAGAACUCCGAUUGCGAAGGCAGCAUACCGGCGCCCUACUGACGCUGAGGCACGAAAGCGUGGGUAUCGAACAGGAUUAGAUACCCUGGUAGUCCACGCAGUAAACGAUGAAUGCUAGCUGUCCGGUUCUACGGGACUGG